GAUGAACGCUGGCGGCGUGCUUAACACAUGCAAGUCGAGCGAGUGAGUUCUUCGGAACGAUCUAGCGGCGGACGGGUGAGUAACACGUGGGCAACCUGCCUCAUAGAGGGGAAUAGCCGACCGAAAGGGAGAUUAAUACCGCAUACCAUCGUUGAAGGGCAUCCUUCGAGGAUCAAAGGAGCAAUCCGCUAUGAGAUGGGCCCGCGGCGCAUUAGCUAGUUGGUGAGGUAACGGCUCACCAAGGCGACGAUGCGUAGCCGACCUGAGAGGGUGAUCGGCCACAUUGGGACUGAGACACGGCCCAGACUCCUACGGGAGGCAGCAGUGGGGAAUAUUGCACAAUGGGGGAAACCCUGAUGCAGCAACGCCGCGUGAGUGAUGACGGCCUUCGGGUUGUAAAGCUCUGUCUUUGGGGACGAUAAUGACGGUACCCAAGGAGGAAGUCACGGCUAACUACGUGCCAGCCGCCGCCGUAA
rnacentral:rRNA from 1 species